GCAACGUACUUUCUAUAGUACAGGAAAUCUGUGGUCUACCAGUUCUAAAGCGAGGUUGAAAACUGCUCAUGGUUAUCACACUGUGCUUGAGCCGUGUGCAAAUUCCCUGCUGACUCAGCCUCAGGAUGUCUAGAGGCAAGAAUCAAGCGCACCCAAAUGAGCGCAUCAGUGGUCGUGUGCACAUCACGCAGAGGGAGAGUGAGAGAGGAAAGGCACAGCAGCAGAGCAUGGCAGUUGUAACGCAGUUUGUGUGAUUCCGUGUGCGUUAAUGAAACUUUUCCAGACAACCAUGCUUAUAGUCACCUAUUCUGCAUCUGCCACAAUUAUAAGUUCAUAUCUGGCUGCAUCACAGUUGGAUUUAUCAUGCCAGGCCCUGCUGUAACCAGUUCUUCUGUGAAGCUUAAUUAAAGACAGUGAACUAAACUCCUGGACUGCUGCAGUCUUUCUGACCGAAGACUUAGGCCAGACUUGUAUACCCA